rnacentral:rRNA from 1 species
UACGUAGGCAGCAAGCGUUGUUCGGAGUUACUGGGCGUAAAGGGUGCGUAGGUGGCUCUAUAAGUAUGGUGUGAAAUCUCCCGGCUUAACUGGGAGGGUGCGCCGUAGACUGUGGGGCUAGAGUGUGGGAGAGGAAAGUGGAAUUCCUGGUGUAGCGGUGAAAUGCGUAGAUAUCAGGAGGAACACCGGUGGCGAAGGCGGGUCUCUGGGCCGUAACUGACGCUGAGGAGCGAAAGCGUGGGGAGCGAACAGG